rnacentral:lncRNA from 10 species
CCCGGGAGUCCACACGUCCUUGCCCGAAGCUGGCGCUCUGCGCUCCGAGCGCGGGGCUGGCGGAGGGACAAGUCCCCAGGACCCUGGGGCAGACCUUCUGCUUUUGUCCCCUGCCCCUCCCCGCGCCCCGGGGAUUCCACGCAGCCAGAGAACCCGCAACAACUCCGCUCAUCUUGGCGUCAGAACGCGGCCGGAGACCCUCAUGAAAACCCCAGUUUCCCCAUCAGGAACCUGGAAAGUGACAAGGAACAGGCUCCACAGAGCCUGGUGGUCUUGACCACACCCUCUCCCCCUUCAGGGUCAAAUCUUCUGUGCAUCUUCCCAGUUCAGAAGAAAUACCAAGGCUAUCAGAUCCUGGGCACCGAGAUAUGCUGCUUGGCAACGAUUAUAUCACACAUCACAUACGUCUGGAUCAAGUGUUACUUUGCAAGUAUUCAGCUAUGGCAUUAAAGAUCCUUUCAAGAACCCUUUUGAAUGGCUUCUCUAGGUGACACAGCAAAUGGAUUCCUAAGUAUGCAUCCAUUCUCCCGGGUAAACCACGAGUCUCAAAAAGUAGGCAGCAGGCUGGACCCGGUGGCACACGCAUGGAAUCCCAGCGCUUUGGGAGGCCAAGGCAGGAAGUUGCUUGAGGCCAGGAGUGCAAAACCAACAUGGCGAGACUCUGUCUGUAUAAGAAAUAAAAUAAAUUAUCCAGGUGUGGUGGUGUGUACCUGUUGUUCCAG